GUGUUUCAGGCGACCCACUCCUCCUCCCAGGGGAGCCUGUAGGAACAGCGGCACUCCUCCUCCCAGUCGCUGUUCAUCCAUUCGAAAAGCCUGCCGCACCUCCUCCCGCGGCAGGCUUUUUCG
rfam:Rhizobium sp. PDO1-076 strain PDO-076 ctg85, whole genome shotgun sequence.